rnacentral:tRNA from 1 species
GGGGUUGUAGCUCAGUGGUAGAGUGCUCACCUAGCAUGUGUGAGGCACUUGGUUUGAUUCUCAGCACCA